rnacentral:lncRNA from 1 species
GUUUGAAAACCAGGGCUCAAGGCCCCUCUUCUGAGGCCUGUGAUGACUAUGGCUGCAGGAGCUGCUCAUGAAUCCUGAAUGCUGCUGGCCUGACUGAGGCACAAAUGGGACCAUAACAGCUGUCACAAUUUGUGAUUUACUUGGUGUCUGGUGGCUGUCACCUCUUGAAUGGCACAUGUCGCUGGCACUUCUCUCCUGUAAUUUCUUCAAAUAUGGGGUGCAUCCACACCCCACUCUGAUAAGUUUGCCAAUCAUCUGUACAUAAUUAAACUAUUUUCCGAUGG